AUGAUGGUUUUAAUGAUGAUGAUGCAUGUAUUUUGUGUGUAUCUCACAGGGGGAUUUAAAAAAACCCGUGAAUUAACUUGGGUCAUAGGUGUGGUUUUGGCUGUUUUGACUGCAUCAUUUGGUGUAACUGGUUAUUCUUUACCUUGGGAUCAAAUUGGCUAUUGUGCAGUCAAAAUUGUGACAGGUGUACCUCACGCCAUUCCGGUAAUAAGAUCGCCUUUAGUGGAGUUAUUACGUGGAAGUGCUAGUGUGGGCCAAUCCACUUUGACUCGUUUUUAUAGUUUACAUACUUUGUACUGCCUCUGCUUACUACUCCCUCCUUUCCGGUUUAUAAGGCUCAAUUCAAAAAUCUCACCAAUCAAGGUAGAUGGUGAGUGA
rnacentral:rRNA from 1 species